AACGUAGGGUGCAAGCGUUGUCCGGAAUUACUGGGUGUAAAGGGAGCGCAGGCGGACCGGCAAGUUGGAAGUGAAAUCUAUGGGCUCAACCCAUAAAUUGCUUUCAAAACUGCUGGCCUUGAGUAGUGCAGAGGUAGGUGGAAUUCCCGGUGUAGCGGUGGAAUGCGUAGAUAUCGGGAGGAACACCAGUGGCGAAGGCGACCUACUGGGCACCAACUGACGCUGAGGCUCGAAAGCGUGGGGAGCAAACAGG
rnacentral:rRNA from 1 species